AUUGAAUAUUAACCCUAAGAAGAAUUGAGGAGGCAAUGUGGACACACAGCUAUGUGACUUAUCAACAACGUUGGCUUUUCCAGAGUCAAUAGAAGAAGCCUGCAGUACCCCAACAUUUUCUAGAGAUGUCUGCUUCGAUGGACAUAUGACACAAAGUUACAGGUCCAGAGGACAUACCAUGAAAUAAAAUGUGUCCUACAAUGGCCAGCACCAAACGUCCGUGACUAGAUGAGGAGAAACAAGAUCUGAAACAUACAAGGGCUCACAAAAGCUUCAGGUUUUAUAAAACUUGGAUCCAUGCCUGCUCAUGGGGCUAAUAUUUUACUGGGAAGAGAAAGACAAAAACUAAUAUAACAUAGUCAAAG